CUACUUACCUGGGGGGGGAUUUCCAUGAUCACAAGGUGGUUCACCCAGGGCGAGGGUCGGCCAUUGGGCCCUUUGGUCAUGCUGACCCCUGCGAAUUCCCCCCAAAAAAGGGGAAACUCGACCGCAUAAUUUCUGUUUUGGGGGAUGCGUUUUGCGCUCUCGCCCC